rnacentral:rRNA from 1 species
UCUUUAUAAUAAAAUUUUUUUAAUAGGUUAUUUUAAAUAAAUCAGUUAUUUUAUCAAUUAAUUAUUUUAUUGGGGUGAUAUAAAAAUUUAAUUAACUUUUUAAAUAAAUUUACUAAAAUUAAAGAUUUUAAAAUAUUGAUCUAUUAUUAAUAAUUCAAAGAAUAAGA